rnacentral:rRNA from 1 species
GACGAACGCUGGCGGCGUGCUUAACACAUGCAAGUCGAACGGUGAAGGGAUCAGCUUGCUGGUUCUGGAUGAGUGGCGAACGGGUGAGUAACACGUGAGUAACCUGCCCCCUUCUUCUGGAUAACCGCAUGAAAGUGUGGCUAAUACGGGAUAUUCUGGGUCUGUCGCAUGAUGGGUCUGGGAAAGAUAUUGUUUCGGUGGGGGAUGGGCUCGCGGCCUAUCAGCUUGUUGGUGGGGUGAUGGCCUACCAAGGCGGUGACGGGUAGCCGGCCUGAGAGGGUGGACGGUCACACUGGGACUGAGACACGGCCCAGACUCCUACGGGAGGCAGCAGUGGGGAAUAUUGCACAAGGGGCGCAAGCCUGAUGCAGCGACGCCGCGUGAGGGAUGGAGGCCUUCGGGGUGUAAACCUCUUUCGCCAGUGAAGCAGGCCUGCUCCUUGUGGGUGGGUUGACGGUAGCUGGAUAAGAAGCGCCGGCUAACUACGUG